rnacentral:rRNA from 1 species
CCUACGAGCGGCAGCAGUGAGGAAUAUUGGUCAAUGGCCGAAAGUCUGAACCAGCCAAGUCGCGUGAAGGAAGACUGCCCUCUGGGUUGUAAACCUCUUUUAUACGGGAAUAAAGCGUUCCACGUGUGGGUUUUUGUAUGUACCGUAUGAAUAAAGACCGGCUAAUUCCGUGCCAUCAGCCGCGGUAAUACGGAAGGUCCGGGCGUUAUCCGGAUUUAUUGGGUUUAAAGGGAGCGUAGGCGGGUUGUUAAGUGAGAUGUGAAAUUUUGUGGCUCAACCUUAAGAUUGCGGCGGAUACUGGAGAGCUUGAGUGCAGUAGAGGGAGGCGGAAUUCGUGGUGUAGCGGUGAAAUGCUUAGAGAUCACGAAGAACUCCGAUUGCGAAGGCAGUCCGCCGGAGCGUAACUGACGCUGAGGCUCGAAAGCGUGGGUAUCAAACAGGAUUAGAUACCCCUGUAGUC